GACGAACGCUGGCGGCGUGCCUAAUACAUGCAAGUCGAGCGAAUUGAUGGGAGCUUGCUCCCUGAUAUUAGCGGCGGACGGGUGAGUAACACGUGGGUAACCUGCCUGUAAGACUGGGAUAACUUCGGGAAACCGGAGCUAAUACCGGAUAAUCUUCUUCUCCGCAUGGAGAAGAACUGAAAGAUGGCUUCGGCUAUCACUUACAGAUGGACCCGCGGCGCAUUAGCUAGUUGGAGAGGUAACGGCUCACCAAGGCGACGAUGCGUAGCCGACCUGAGAGGGUGAUCGGCCACACUGGGACUGAGACACGGCCCAGACUCCUACGGGAGGCAGCAGUAGGGAAUCUUCCGCAAUGGACGAAAGUCUGACGGAGCAACGCCGCGUGAACGAUGAAGGCCUUCGGGUCGUAAAGUUCUGUUGUUAGGGAAGAACAAGUACCGUUCGAAUAGGGCGGUACCUUGACGGUACCUAACCAGAAAGCCACGGCUAACUACGUGCCAGCAGCCGCCGUAAUAC
rnacentral:rRNA from 1 species